CUUUGAUGGGGCAGCCAUUUGUUUUCUAGAGCAGCAGAACGGCCAGGACCGGCACUGGCAGGAAGUGUAUUGCAUGUCAUGGGUUUGCUAAAUACAAUAUUUCCUGUAGGGCAGAGAUGCAGGCCCUGCUGAACAAUGUAAAGCAGUCGAUGAAACACCUGCAGGGUCAGCUGAAUGACAUACAUGGAAAGUUUAUUGAGUUGCAGACUGCUAUCUCUCAGAUAGUGUCAGAUGAGUCUAAGAUACUGUAGAAUAACUCUAUGUUAUGAAGCCAACAUUGCUGCACAGACGGAGGUAAUCUCAACAUCCAAUCACAACAUCCCAACAAGCAGCAUUUCUGAACAGAGGGAAGAGAUCCUACCGAAAGCCGGUGUCCCUGUGAAGAAUAGAGACAAUCCUCCACAACCACCUCCCAUCAUCCCCAUGGUGGGACGAAAGUGGGAAUGGGAUGCUGGAGUGUGUACUAUUCCAAGAGAAGAGAUGUCCUGAGUAGACAUGUUGUGCAUCCUGCUAUGAUGUCCAUCACCAAGCCAGAACACUCCGAGGCCAACCCUCGAAGCCAGACUGGCAGCCGGGCCAGUGGCUGAGCCUGAGACCCCUGCGGCAAAGAACACACCAAACAAUGGUGGCUGGCUCAGCUGGUUCUCUGGAGGGGAAAAGAGGUUCAUCCGAAGGAGGCUCAUCUACCCGAGGACAAAGACAAAUCGAUUAUCUGGGAUCCAACCCUGCACAGAUGGGUUGACAAAAUUGAGCCCAAUGCUGAGAACAAGCCAGUACCACCACCUCCCCCGAUGGGAAUGAAUGGACAUCUGGGGAACUCUGGCAGUCUCCCCAAAGGAGUGAAUCCUUAGUCCAUGAAAGCAGGUGAAUGUUACUUUAGACUACAUUAGGCUUAACUCUAAGACUGUACCAGCCAAUCAUUGCUCUUUGUGGUGAUCUCCUGCUACCAUUUUCCCCACUAACUGCAAGUCUAUGGUUCAAUUAUGGACCACCACAAAGCCUCCAAGCCAGGGACUUGGACUGCGUCCUCCCUCACACUCUACCCUCAUUGCACCUAUGGCGUUGCCAUUUGAGUCUGCUCAAGAUAGCUGGAAGAAUCUUGCCCCUGGUAUUCUAUCCUAUAGAGGUAUUAUUCUGAACAAUCCUUCCAAAAAGAAUCAAUUUCAUUAACUAUGCCUUUACUUUACAGUAACAUACAGUAGUAUAUGGCUGAAGUAACAGUGAUGUUAACUUUUUGUAUUUUUGUCCCACAGGCAAUUUUCCCAGAGUGGAUUUCUUUAUAAGGGGAUUUUUCUGCAUUUUCAAAGAAUAAGAAAAAUAUUUAGCAAAGAAAAAUAUUAUUUGGCGAUUGCCAAAUUAGUUCUUAGUUAAAAGACUCAAGCAUUUCCCUCUCUCUGUCAUUUCGUCAUGUUCACAUAGCUUUGAUAUGUUCAUCACUUACAAGCCCAUUGAUAAUGAAAUUAAUCAUCUGUGUAGCUCCAGUUAUGCCUUAAUGCCAAAUAAAUGGGGGAAAUUGCACCAUCUAAUUUCAUUAUUAAUAUUUCCUAUGCAUUCUUUUGUGGUUGAGGCACAUAGCUGGAUGAUCUACACAACAUAUGGCAAGAGCCAAUGACUCGCUAUGAUAAAUUCUGAGGUCAACUUCAACUGGGUGAGUUCCCAUGAGCUUGAAAGUAUUC
rnacentral:lncRNA from 1 species